AGAUCUUCGGCUUUUUGGCUAAGAUCAAGUGUAGUAUCUGUUUUUAUCAGUUUAAUAUUUGAUUCGUCCUCUACCUGGGAGUGGGGACCAUAUAAAACAAUACUCUAGACAGAUUUCUUAGUGUAGGUCCUUCAAUUUAUGACCUUAGUGGUUUUAAAGGACGCAUAUCUACGUUCCCAUUCACAGGGAUCAUCUCA